ACAUCUUAGCGCUUUGGCCGCGAAUCAAUGACAAUUUCCAUCUCUAAUCGGCAGUAAUUUUUAAGAAAGGUCGGAUGAAACUAGUGUUGGGUUGUAUUGUUUUCAUUGAUAUUAGCAUGUUUAACAAAUUUGAUAGUUGAUCGGUUGUCAGUUCAAGAAAACGUCGCAAGAAUGAUAAUCAAUGUGUAAUAUGCUUUGAGGAAUUUAUUACGGAGUAUGGAUGCAAACGUCUACCAUGUAAUCAUAAAUUUCACUCUCAGUGCAUUGGAAAAUGGUUGCUGGUCCAGAAAACUUGUCCUACUUGCAGGAAAAACGUCAUUUAAUUACAUGUGAUGAAUAUGUCUUGGACUGCACAAUUCAUACAAUGUAUAUAUAGUUCGCCUCAUUUUUUUAGCUGGAUAUUAAAUCUAAAUAAAUUGUUACUAGCUAAAA
rnacentral:misc_RNA from 1 species